GUUGUUUGUGAGUUACCUUGCCAAAUGAAUGUACAAUUUUUUAGCUUUUUUACUUGAAUAACUUUCAAUGAAUCUGUACUUAAGGAUUAUUUUUCAAUGUUAUAUUUCAGUGCAGAAUUAUUACAUAUGAGUGAAGGCAUUCAGUCUGGUUCUGAACACAUCUUAAAAAUGCUAAGAAAACCAUGACCAAAAACGUGUGUUGAAAUAGUAACAAUCACGUGUUUUGCUAUUUCCUGUAUCUGAUUAAUAUUUGGUAUAUUAUCAACAACAGUGACAGAGCUGGAGGGAAAAAAUAUAGAUAAAAGUUGAGAAACAAUAGAUCAAAACAAUGUCAACUAACUGUAAGUAAGCCCUCACCUUUGGGACUUUUUCUUUAUUCUGCAGUCAUUCCACAGCAUGGAGUUCAAUAUGCUCACUGCUGUAUUGCAGAGGCAGCAAUCUGUUUAUAAUGAAUCAGACAGUUCAGCUGCCAUAUCCAGAUGCAGCUUCAGCACUAAAAUGUAAUCCAAUAUUUUAGUGAUUCAAAGUUUAUGACCUCUGGUUAUGGCACAGAGACCAUCAAUAUUUCCUUUGGAGAUCAAAGAUGAAUAUUUCUUCUUCUGACUGCUGAGGUGAUGACAUCACUGGAAAUCAUAUCCUUAUAUUAAUUUCAUAGCCAGGGAAGACCUUCUGCUUAAUAAAGACAAGUUGCAGGAAGCA
rnacentral:lncRNA from 1 species